rnacentral:rRNA from 1 species
GACAGAGGAUGCAAGCGUUAUCCGGAAUGAUUGGGCGUAAGCGUCUGUAGGUGGCUUUUAAGUCCGCCGUCAAAUCCCAGGCGUCAACCCUGGACAGGCGGUGGAAACUACCAAGCUGGAGUACGGUAGGGCAGAGGGAAUUUCCGGUGGAGCGGUGAAAUGCGUAGAGAUCGGAAAGACACCAACGGCGAAAGCACUCUGCU